GGUGUGGGUAACCCGUUGAACCCCAUUCGUGAUGUGGAUCGGGGAUUGCAAUUAUUCCCCAUGAACGAGGAAUUCCCAGUAAGUGCGGGUCAUAAGCUCGCGUUGAUUAAGUCCCUGCCCUUUGUACACUACCCCCCAGAUCUGAAGAGCGUGGAGGUAUUCGCUCAAGAGGUGUCAGA